rnacentral:tRNA from 1 species
UCCCUGAUGGUUCAGUGGUUAGGACUCUGCACUUCCACUGCAGGGGGCACAGGUUCAAUCUCUGGUCAAGGAA